GUACACCUUGAUCCCUGCACCCCUUUGUGGUGAGGGGAAAUCCUGAGAUCGAAGCAGCCUGAUUCCUCCUGCCUAAAGAGGAUCCCUGCCAGCAGAGAUCAGCCCUUCUGCAGUGACUGAGGAGUCCAGAGUCAUCUCUGAACCUGACAAUCAUUCAUGGAGUUUGAGAGUGCACCAUCUUUUAGUCAGUCAGGGAAUUUGUUUUGGGGACUCCCUACUCCCUGAACUGUGUCCUCAAGCCAGGGAGUAAGGGGUUGGGGAUUUUAUAACCAGCUGCAUAUUAAACCCAUGGAGGGAUUUACCACCUCCCAUUUGAGAGUCUUUUGGGCUGUACUGAACCCAGUCAGCCACACUGCUAAAACCAUCGUGGUCAUAGCAAGGGCCUCAACAAAGUACAUGUACCAACAGGACACUAAUCUUACAUUUGCUACCUCAAGUCAUGUGACUGGGGAAAGUCACAGGUAUUAGCAGCAUGGGCACCGGUGAACCUAACAAUAGUGUUACCCUGUUAUGAUGUAUUUGGCUCCUGUUUAAUAAUUGUGUUGAAUAUUUUGUAUGUGUUUGUGUUAUUUCUUGGAAGUCUCCAACUGUCUGGCAAGUAAGUGGAGAUUACCCUGUGGUUAGAAUUUUCCUCCCAAGCUGCCCUGCCAGGAAGGAGUGAGGAGGAGUGGAGGCACCGCUGAAUACAUUAAUUGGAAAAAAUAGAGAAGAUAGACCCUGCUGAGCGGGAUCCAGAAGAACCCAGACCUGUCCAUCAAAACCUGUAAGCAGAUUGGCAUUAAAGAAGCCCUACUUCAGAUACUUCUGUGUUUUAUCAAAAAGAAUUCUCACAACCAGCACGCCAGCUCAUUCCUCCUGAUAUUGCCAAUGUCUGGUGAUGUGUUCUCUGGAGGUGUCCCGCAACCUCCUGAUGGCGUCUGACACCAUGAAUUGCUGCAUCAACCAAGCCUAGCGUUGACCAACUCCACAUUCUCUCAGCACUCGCUCUUUACCGAGGUCUAAUGUGCCCAUGGCUCCAACGAUCAGUGCGUGAGUUUGAACCUCAGCACCCCUCUCUCUCAGGGUGUCGGCCAGAGGGGUAUAUUUCUCCAGCUUUUGAGAUCGGGCGUCAUGGAAAGCUGGGGUCCUGUUUUUGAAGGGCACUGUGACUUUAAUAUUACUUUUUCAGUUGAGCAAUUGCUAACAUUGGCACAGGGAAGUGGAGAGAAAGGCUGGCUGUGGGAUUGCGAAUUGUUUAUGAGACACUGAAUAUUGAAAUGUAAUCCCCCAAUAAGAAAAUGCUUGAUAAACUGCAUGU